CUAGCUGGUCUGAGAGGAUGACCAGCCACACUGGAACUGAGACACGGUCCAGACUCCUACGGGAGGCAGCAGUGGGGAAUAUUGCACAAUGGGCGCAAGCCUGAUGCAGCCAUGCCGCGUGUAUGAAGAAGGCCUUCGGGUUGUAAAGUACUUUCAGCGGGGAGGAAGGGAGUAAAGUUAAUACCUUUGCUCAUUGACGUUACCCGCAGAAGAAGCACCGGCUAACUCCGUGCCAGCAGCCGCGGUAAUACGGAGGGUGCAAGCGUUAAUCGGAAUUACUGGGCGUAAAGCGCACGCAGGCGGUUUGUUAAGUCAGAUGUGAAAUCCCCGGGCUCAACCUGGGAACUGCAUCUGAUACUGGCAAGCUUGAGUCUCGUAGAGGGGGGUAGAAUUCCAGGUGUAGCGGUGAAAUG
rnacentral:rRNA from 1 species